rnacentral:rRNA from 1 species
ACGGGUGAGUAAUAUAUCGGAACGUGCCCAGUCGUGGGGGAUAACGCAGCGAAAGCUGUGCUAAUACCGCAUACGAUCUCUGGAUGAAAGCGGGGGACCGCAAGGCCUCGCGCGAUUGGAGCGGCCGAUAUCAGAUUAGCUAGUUGGUGGGGUAAAAGCCCACCAAGGCGACGAUCUGUAGCUGGUCUGAGAGGACGACCAGCCACACUGGAACUGAGACACGGUCCAGACUCCUACGGGAGGCAGCAGUGGGGAAUUUUGGACAAUGGGCGCAAGCCUGAUCCAGCAAUGCCGCGUGCAGGAUGAAGGCCUUCGGGUUGUAAACUGCUUUUGUACGGAACGAAACGGCUCUUUCUAAUAAAGGGGGCUAAUGACGGUACCGUAAGAAUAAGCACCGGCUAACUACGUGCCAGCAGCCGCGGUAAUACGUAGGGUGCGAGCGUUAAUCGGAAUUACUGGGCGUAAAGCGUGCGCAGGCGGUAAUGUAAGACAGAUGUGAAAUCCCCGGGCUUAACCUGGGACCUGCAUUUGUGACUGCAUUGCUGGAGUGCGGCAGAGGGGGAUGGAAUUCCGCGUGUAGCAG